rnacentral:rRNA from 1 species
CCUACGGGAGGCUGCAGUGGGGAAUAUUGGACAAUGGGGGCAACCCUGAUCCAGCCAUGCCGCGUGUGUGAAGAAGGCCCUCGGGUGGUAAAGCACUUUCAGUGAGGAAGAACGCCUGGUGGUUAAUACCCAUCAGGAAAGACAUCACUCACAGAAGAAGCACCGGCUAACUCCGUGCCAGCAGCCGCGGUAAUACGGAGGGUGCGAGCGUUAAUCGGAAUUACUGGGCGUAAAGCGCGCGUAGGUGGCUUGAUAAGCCGGUUGUGAAAGCCCCGGGCUCAACCUGGGAACGGCAUCCGGAACUGUCAAGCUAGAGUGCAGGAGAGGAAGGUAGAAUUCCCGGUGUAGCGGUGAAAUGCGUAGAGAUCGGGAGGAAUACCAGUGGCGAAGGCGGCCUUCUGGACUGACACUGACACUGAGGUGCGAAAGCGUGGGUAGCAAACAGGAUUAGAUACCCUAGUAGUC